UGAGGAAUAUUGGUCAAUGGACGGAAGUCUGAACCAGCCAUGCCGCGUGAAGGAUGAAGGCGUUCUGCGUUGUAAACUUCUUUUAUCUGGGAAGAAACCACAGAUUUCUAUUUGUGUUGACGGUACCAGAGGAAUAAGCACCGGCUAACUCCGUGCCAGCAGCCGCGGUAAUACGGAGGGUGCGAGCGUUAUCCGGAUUUACUGGGUUUAAAGGGUGCGUAGGCGGGCUAUUAAGUCAGAGGUGAAAUCUCCGGGCUCAACCUGGAAACUGCCUUUGAUGCUAUUAGCCUUGAAUUAUGUUGAGGUUGGCGGGAUAUAACAUGUAGCGGUGAAAUGCUUAGAUAUGUUAUGGAACACCGAUUGCGAAGGCAGCUGGCUAAACAUAUAUUGACGCUGAUGCACGAAAGCGUGGGUAGCGAACA
rnacentral:rRNA from 1 species